ensembl:lncRNA
UCCAAAAUGGUCACGCUACAAAAUCAAAGAAGUAACAAGGUAUGGUUGGUUACCCUUCCAAAAAUAACUGCAAGUAUUAAGUGCUGUCUUUAUGGAGAAGCCAGACCUCCUGCAGUAAGAGGGAAAAUUGAAUUGACUUGCAAGAGGCCAGAAUGCCACCCACAGAGGUGCUUGAUUGCCAGAAAAUGCUGAGUUCCUGCUGCUUGGAAUCACUGCUGUCCGAUAUCCGGCAUUGUACUGAAAGUUUCAGAGAGGAGACAGACAGCUGGUGGAGUUGCAGAUUUCACAAGCAGGAGGAAUCAAAAUGUGGGAGACCAGGAGGUCAGGACAGCAUGCUUGAUUGCCUACAUGAAGAGUAACAAGCUUCUUCUCUGGUCCCAUGUGAGCCACCUGGAAACCAUUGAGGAGCACAAGAGCCCCAGUAUCAUCUCAGUGGAUGUUCCAGAGAAACUGUUUGAAUGUCUGUUCUAGAAAGGUACAUGAAUUUAUCCUGCAAUGAAUACAGAAGCAUAGGAGAUGGAGGACAGGACCUUGACCUGAACAGAUCUGAGUAAGUUAGAACAAAUUUUCUAGUUUUGAUGAAAUGCUUCAUUUGGAAAUCAUAGUUAAGAAUCCUCUGACAUAACUUUUUAAAAUGAUAGUUAAAUCCCUAAAAAUCUGUUUUAGAAAAGCAUACCCUGAUAAAAUAACCACAUACAUUUUCCAGCUAUUAAACUAGAAUACAUAUACUGCCAUUUCAGAGAACUCUGUACAAAAAUGGCCAGCAGAGCUGAGUUUUAUCAUAGCACUCAGCAUUUCUUUCUCUUUUAAGCAAUUAGUAAAUCAGUCAGAAAUCUCACUUUUCAUUCCAGUUAGUCUGCUCUGCAACAAUUUUGAGCAAACAGAUUUUAUCAUCUAUGGAACUGUCAAAACAAAGAAGUCGCAAAUUUAUUUCUGCAGCUUAAAUUACCAAGUACCUUUCCCAGCGCUCUUGCCAUGUUUUUACCCUCUGGGGUUUUUAUUUCUUUUUUUUUUUUUUUUUUGACAAAAUUUUUGAUUGAUCAACUGAAUAAUUUCAGAUAAUUUAAACUAUAUGUCACAUAUGCGUGACUGCAUAGAUUAGAUCUGGCUGUUCCAGUAAGGCCCCCCCAGAAAAACUGAUAUAGUAAAAAAGUGUCUGGAUUUAUAGUUCUAUACAAAACAGUUUUAGAGACCUGAUUCUUGAAUUUUGAAAGGCUCUUUGGUACUAUUUCCUCCUUCUCCACUGAGUUUCCUGAUGGGCAUAACAGCAGUGACACCAAAACAGCUGUUGUGCAUUUCAGGAGUUGUAUUUUAAAGCAGCCUCCAGGACCGGCCCCCAGUUAAAGCGCUAAAGUGGUGUUUGACCACCAUUCGUCCUGCUCAGCCAAACUGCUGGGCUGUUGUCUGGUUUUAAGAAACCUAAUUUCUUUCAUUAAACCUUUUCACGAUAAAAAGAAGUGGAUUUAUUAAGUGCUCAUUACCUGCAAUUCUAGGUUGAAUACCUUGUGUUACAUUGCUCUGUAUGUGGUAUUGAAAUGGCCUUGGGCGCGAUUGUAAGGCAGUACUCAUAGCGAGCACCUCAUAAAGAUGAGAUGCUCAUCUCAUCUGGCGAUUGCUGAGAACAAAAAAUGAUAGAUAAAUUAUUUUUAAUGGUACCAAGAAAUGCUAUAUGCUAACAAUAGAACUAUAAUGCCUCUCUUCUGACUUCCUUCAGUGCUUCCUCCAUAACAUGCUUGGCAAUAACCUUAGGCUGGAACAGACUUCUCAGUGCAAUUGUGAUAAUGCCAACAGAAGUGACUGGUGCACUUGCAGUUCCUUUCAGGAAAGAGUAUGCUUUGUUUAUUUGAGCUGCAUAUUGGUAUUAUUUGUUGGAAGUCUUAAAACUUUCUGGAGAGACAUUCUCCACCUAGAGCAAUAAAAGAGCAACUGUUAAAUUUAAUUUCUGCUGGAAGAGUAAGUUACCUUUUACUUUACUACAUCAGUAAAAUGGACGCUAAACAUCUGAUGAAAGAUCCCAGCUGGAUACAAGGGAAGUUUUUUUACUCACUUCACUUCCAAAAAUCUGAUGUAUUCUACAUUUGUGGAGAGAUGUUAUGAGUUUGUUGUUGUAGUUGUUCGGUUGCUUUUUUUUAAUCCAUUGCGUGUGUCAAGUGUUACAUUUCUAUAUACUGCAGCAAUAUAACCUUCCUUUAUUGCUAUGUAAGUACAUCGCAAAAAAAUAAAUGCAGACUGAGAUUUUUAAUGAAGGUUUAGAUACCAGGUGUCACAUAAAGAACAUAAACUGUGGUUGACAAUAAAAUUAGAAGUUACCCAAGCAGCCACAGGAUACAUUCUGCUCUCCCACAGCUCGUACGUGUCAAAGACUGCAUCGCUGAAAGCAUAAUACUGCUCCUGCACUAAGAGUGUGUCUCUUCCAAGGCUUUCAAAACCAUGGCACCAGGUGUGAUUUAAGACCACUUCCAUUAAGAAGCAUGGAACUGGAUUUUUCUUCUUGUAUUUAGUGCUACUGAACUCCUUGCCAUCAGGUAUUAAGAGAGUGUCUAAGAUAUGAAAUGCUACAAACCUGACAGAUGUCUGUGUGAGCCAUAGAGAUAUUUCACACAGGAGAGUGAAGGCGAAGAUGAAUUUGGGACUAAUGGAUCUGAAUAGCUGGUCAAGACAGGGCAGUGAAGAGGAGGACAUGAAGCAAAAAGAUUUAAGACUUAAUGAGACCAAUAAAAAAAAAAAAACAACAGGCUCUAUACCACUGAAAAGCAAUAUUUACUACUUCACUUUCAGAUUUGUACCAAGUUAAUGCCUGUGUUGAUCUGUAACCUCGUCCAGCUGGAAACAAUGGGGAAAAAAAAAUCAGCAACAAAUACAAGAUCUGAAAGAAAAAAAAAGGCAAGAUUUGAAAGAGAGCCUACAUUUAUAAUAGUCAAGGCAGCUUUGAUAGAUGAAGGAAGAGUACUGCCCAGUACUGGAAGGAGAGAAAAAAAAAAAAGACUAACGCGCUAUGGAUUACUGAGAUACUCUACAGUAAAAUAAAAUUAAAACGUACAAUGAAGUUAGUUAUAAAGAGAAAAUUUUAGAAGAUGUUCAUUUUCAUAUUUAGAGAAUGAGAUACAGAAAACAG